rnacentral:rRNA from 1 species
AAUGAACGCUGGCGGCAGGCCUAACACAUGCAAGUCGAACGGAUCCUUCGGGAUUAGUGGCGGACGGGUGAGUAACGCGUGGGAACAUACCCUUUGGUACGGAAUAGCCUCGGGAAACUGGGAGUAAUACCGUAUGUGGUCGAGAGACGAAAGAUUUAUCGCCAAAGGAUUGGCCCGCGUUGGAUUAGGUAGUUGGUGGGGUAAUGGCCUACCAAGCCGACGAUCCAUAGCUGGUUUGAGAGGAUGAUCAGCCACACUGGGACUGAGACACGGCCCAGACUCCUACGGGAGGCAGCGGUGGGGAAUCUUAGACAAUGGGGGAAACCCUGAUCUAGCCAUGCCGCGUGAUCGAUGAAGGCCUUAGGGUUGUAAAGAUCUUUCAGGUGGGAAGAUAGUGACUGUACCACCAGAAGAAGCCCCGGCUAACUCCGUGCCAGCAGCCGCCGUAA